rnacentral:lncRNA from 1 species
CAAGAAUUGAAUGGUAGAACUGUUAUUGGUAAUGUUAUCUAAACCUUGACUUGACUAGACAGGAUAUUCUCCUGAUAUUUGAUCUCCCUCCUUUUAACGGAGCUGCAGUAGGGAUGCUUCUGAGAUCUGGAAACUGUACAAUUCACAUUAUAAACACAACGUGACUCCACUUCUGAGGCAUAUUUUUACAUUAGCUUUUUAACCUUGAUGCUCUACGACAAAUUAACUUUAUACAGAAGUAUUUUAUGUACCUAAUGUUUUUCAUUGUUUCAGACAUAGUUUCGAAUUUCCUCUCAGUGGUGCAGGAAGGCUUUGCAGAAGAACACUCAUAAGUUGUCAUCCCAGCCAGGGUGCACUGAGCACGAAGUCACUGGGGGAAGUAAGCCCGGCGCCGUGGUUUGACAUGCAUUAGACCCGUGGUGAUGUGGAGACUGCACACAGCUCUGGGCCCUUCCUGAAUUUUCCUGUUUUACAUGCCAGUAUCUAAUUCUGCAAUUACAUAACGUGAAAUCUCCCACCUGCAUUGUGAUAAACAAGGCGUCAGACUUAUCUGAGAUCAGAUAUAAUUAUCAGGUAAGGUUUUAUUUAAAGAAUCCCUUGCUUAAUC